AACGAACGCUGGCGGCAUGCUUAACACAUGCAAGUCGAACGAGAACUUCGGGUCCAUUCGCGCUCCGGUGCGUAACCCGUGGGAACCUGCACUUAGGAUCGGUAUACCUCCCUCAAAGGGGUCCUCGUUCCGGAUAAUGUCUUCGACCCAAUGCCUUAUCGCCUGUGGAUGGGGCCGCGUUGGAUUGCCUCGGUGGUAGGGUAAACUCCUGCCAAGGCGACGUUGCAUUGCUGGUAGGGGAGGCUGCUCAGCCACACUGGGACUGAGACACGGCCCCGACUCCUACGGAGCGCAGCAGUGGGGAAUAUUGGACGAUGGGCGCUAGCCUGAUCCAGCAGUGUCGGGGAAGAGGUGAAGGCCUUAGGGUUGCAAAGCUCUCUGACACGGGACGAUAAUGACGGUACCUGGAGAAUAAGCUCCGGCUAACUCCGUG
rnacentral:rRNA from 1 species